rfam:Ornithorhynchus anatinus chromosome 4, whole genome shotgun sequence.
AGCAGCGUGGCUUAGUGGCAAGAGCACUGGCUUGGGAGUCAGAUGAUGUGGGUUCUAAUCCCAGCUCUGCCA